CCCCCCCCCCCAUAAGGAUGACAAUGUACUUGGACAAGAUUCUAAGACCUUUUUGAAAGAAAUAUGAAUAGGGGACUUCUAUAGCAGAAGAAGUAUAGCCAAACUUGCAGAAAACAACAACCGAAUGACUGCAUCACUAAAGAAAAGAAACAGGAUUUCUCCAAAUGUAGAAAUGCAGACAGCUCUUCACCAUCAACUGUGAUCCUUUGUAAUUUUGUGUACAUAUGAAACUAAAUGACUGCACAGAAAUGUUUUUUGUUGUUCUUAGGUUGUUGUAUGCAUACUUCAUAAAUCCCAUGAUUUUAUUUCCACCAAGUGCCACAUAAUUUCCACCAACUGCCACAUUGGCAUGGCAUUUGGUGAAAAAAGAUAAGAGAAACUGAACGUGGCAUUUGAUGGAAAAUUGUUCCAAUACUCCACCAACUGCCACCUUGGGGUGGCAUUUGGUGAAAAAUUUGCCACCAACUGCCACGUGGCAUUUGGUGGAAAACGUUCCAAUACUCCACCAAGUGCCACGUUGGGGUGGCAUUUGGUGAAAAAAAUUGCCACGUGGCAUUUGGUGGAAAAUGUUCCAAUACUCCACCAAGUGCCACGUUGGGGUGGCAUUUGGUGGAAAAUGGUGAAAAAUUAGAUCAAAGUCCCAUUUUAUUCUGUUUUUCAUCUUUUUACACCAACUGCCACCCGUUCCAAUACUCCACCGACUGCCACCCAUUUUCCACAUCCAAUUCGUGGCAAAUUUAGGGAAGGGUGCUGCAAUAAACAACAAUACUGUCAACUCUACACUGGCAGCUCUUAUAAUUUAUUAUGAAACGAUCAUUAAUGUUGCAGAGUGCAGACAUAUUACACAAAUGAAGGAACAAACGGUAUUAGAAAUAGUUCUGUGUCAGCAAUUUUCUCCAACUGUAAUAAACUACGUACUGUUCUAUGAUUAACUGAACAAAACAUUGUGAUCAGCCAAUAUACAUAUACAUGUGCUGCUGUACCAAUUCUGUUUUUUAUUAAGCUGAUAUGACAACAUACUUUAUAUUAAUUAAAGGCUGUAAGUAACAAAUUAUUUUUAUGCAAAGGGUUUAACUUAGUAUACUCAGAAAUAGUUAAAAACAUAUUGUAAAUAAGGAAGUCCAUAAUUAUAUGCAGUGUACAAUCAAAGAGCCACUUCAUGCUCAAAUAUGAAACACGAUAAGAUUUUAAGCAUAAUGACUGCAGUUGCUAAGUCUUCACAAAACGGAAACAUCCACUUUCCCCAAUAGAAUACAGCGUAAACUAGGUUUCAUUUCCACACAGUCAUGUACAUUUGUUUACAUUAAGACUUUGGGGUCAAGUUCAAAAACUCGACUCUGUUCUAUGAUAAACCUUUCCUGUAUAAAUACAAUGCUAAAAGCUUCUAAGUGACAUUAAAUUAAGAAGAAGAUAGAACCUUUUCACUUUCACCCCUCAAAUUACAUAACAACACAUGAAUACACACAUCCAUGUCUCAGGGAGAUAUAGUAAAUAUGCAGUAAUAUCUGUAACAUGCCAUGAGGGAAUGAUAACAGGAACAAAUAUAGGAACACCAGUACUGUAAAUAAGUCAUAACAUGCUAUCUUGGUCAUACAGUUAGCCCCAAUAUGUAUUACAAUGUUAUUAUCAUAUAGCUUGCCAAUUUCAUCUGUUUUAUUAUAACAGAAAUGCAAAACAAUCAAUUCCCUGCCACAUUUCCAGGGGCGUAGCUUCCUUUAGGCACUGUA